UCUAUCUCACAUCCGUUCUCAUUUUCUCUCUAGCCAUAGAUAGAGUUCUCUUCCAUUUCAUAUGAGUAGGUACAGCUCUGUUCUGUAUCUAUAAAUAUAUCUAUAUCUAUAUCUAUAUCAUACAUACACAUAUAUAUAUAAUAUAUUUGUAUAUGUAUAAACUUAUAUAUCUGUCAGGAUGUAUUUUGUUGCGGCGGUCUCUAAUUCGCUUGGUGCAGGUCGGGACCGUGUUAUAUGUAUGUGUAUAUAUACAUAUAUACAUAUAUAGGUAUAUGUGAGGAAGAUGAAUAUGGUCCCGCCUUGCAUCAAUUGAAUCGGAGACGGCCGCGAAUGUGAGUUCGGCGCGGCUGAAGAUUGGAAUCUGUUGGAUCUUCAGUUUUUUGGAUAUUGGAGGUUGAUUAUGGUUUGUUAUAAUUUUUUUUGUUUUGAAUUUCUUUUGUUUUAUAGUUGCUGAAUUUUCAUUCGGGGUUACUAUUUUUACAUGCGUUUGAUACACGGUUUCCUCUCACAUGAAGCUGGAACCUAUUUUAUGCUCUCUAGACCAUGGAGAAAUAUCGAAAACACAUGUAAAACAUCAAUCCCUUUCCAUUAUAUUAAUUGAUCUUUUCUUUCUUUUUUACUUUUUACUUUUUUGGAUCUGCAGGUAUAGGUUGAUGCAGGUAUAUACAUACUCAAUUGAAAAGUUCCUGAAAGUUCAUUUACGAUUUUUUCUUUAUGUUGUCGUUGCAAAUCUAUCUAUUGAAUUGGCUGUUUUGGCUUUUGUCGAAUUGGAUGUUCUUUUUUCAAAGUCAAUUUGUGAAAUCCUAUGAAAUGCAUAUUAAGAAAUAUUAAAAUUAGUAGUAUUUUUUAGCAAGUAUACAAUGAUUAUAUCUGUUUAUCUUAAAACUAAAUAAGUUAGUAUUGAUUUUGAAUAAGUCAAAAUGUAUCUCUAUGAUUUUUACAAGUUGGCAUCUUUGCAGGUUUUGCAAAGAAAGCUAAAUAAUCUCCACUGUUAUUGAAAUUUAUUUUCCAGUUUCUUAAAAGUUAGCUUAAUUUUCUUUUCUUUUUCUUGAUUCUUUUUAAUGAUAUAUCUGUCACUGUUGUGCCCAUGCACUCUGUUUAUUUUGGCCAUGGAGUUCAGAUAAAAUGUUAAUAUCUUUUUUUAGCGUAUGCAAAAAAGUUGAAUAAAUUUCAUUUACAGUUUGCUGUACUUCUAAAAAUACAUUAUGCAUUUGAUUUUCAAUUGAGUCUUUCUAAUGAAUUAUCUGUUUCUACUCUGCAAAUGCAAUUUUGUUUUCUUUUUACAUCUUAGCCAUCUUAAGAAAAGGCCAUCUUUUUCAUAAUUUUGUGUGUUUUUUUUUGAGUUUUGGAUCAAACAUUGUCUGUUCAAUUCAAAUACUCGGAUAACUAUACUUUUUUGGGAAUACUUUGCUGUGAUAAAAUACUAGGUGAACUAGUUGUAACAAUAAAUGAUUUUUUUCUAGAAAUGAAUAGCCCAUAGUUACUCUAGAAUAAACUAUAGCACUUCCAUUUUGAUAGAUUCUGCAGGAAUUUUGUACCAAAUUUUAGGAGGUGGUGAAAUGGAGAAAGGGAACGGACAUAAUAGGGCUGCUUAACAAAUUGUGCUCCUAGCUACUCAACUCUACUCAUUUAUGAAGUUGAGUAAAGUUCGAGUACUAUGUUUAUUGGCUCAUUGCCCAACUCCAUAAAUUUUCAGACUAAGUUCUAUAGUCAACCGAGUUUUAGACUUUUGAAUUUUUGUUAAUAUUAUUUUAUUUGUAAUAAUAAUAUUUGUAAUAUAAAAAUGUUUAAAUGCUCAGUAAAGCUUGAUUGAUCUCGAGCUACUUGAUAAGUAAUCGAGUUUGAAUUCAGAAAUUAGUUUUGUUACUCGACUUGAACUUGAUGAAUUUCUUAAUGAGACAAGCUCACGUUGUUACUAUACAACUUGAUAACAAUUCUAAUUGCCAAUACAGGUCUUACUUUUUCAGAGCGUAAAAACUCACUACCAAUACAAUUCUAAUUGCCAAUACAGGUCUCUCUCAUUGAGCAAUUAGUUUCUCUCUUUGGGCAAUAAACUACCAAUUUGUAAUUUUACUAUCCCCACUAUCAAAACUCAAUUUCAAUUGUUUUCAUUAGGGUUUUUAGUACUUCUGAUUUAUAUUUUUCUCAUAUGUAGUAAGUUCAACUUUCUAAUUGUAGGCUAAACAAAUAAAUCUAUCGAGUGGUUUGUUUUAAUUUAUCAAGUCAUCCUAAUCAUUGUUUUUAUUUCUCUUGUUGGAGUUUGAACUCAGUAGUGUUGAAGUGUUUCUAUGUUUAAACUAACCUGAAUCUCGGGGUAUUGAAUGGUGGUAGAAAAAUUGUUUCUAAUUUUGCAAGCCUAAUGGUAGAUAAUUGCAUAUAUUGUAAUGUAAUUAUGUAAAUAGAUAAGGGUAUAAAUAUUAAUUUAGCAAUAUAUAACUCUUUGGGGUGGGUUCAGAGCGAGGAAUGGGUCAAGGGAAGAAAAUACCAGCCCCUAUACAUCCCCAAGUGUAAUUAUUUGGUGAUUCCACAUCCCCUGCCCCUUACCUGAUCAAAGUCAAAAUCACCGCUCCAUUUGGUGCGGGGCAAAGGGAACACUCUGGGGACAAAUCAAAUUACCAUCCCUAAUCUAAUGUGGUGGACCUAUUGAUUAAGAACUCAGUUUUAGAGAAAGCUAGAAACUAUGAAUGCUUAGGUAAGGCUAGUGCAUGAAAUCACUCUUGCAUGAGUAAUAUACCAAAGUUCUUAUCAAAUGUAGCAGUAGUGUUUGUCAUCUUCAUGUUGGGACAUGUCUAGUUUUUUCAAAGUGUGUUCUGAGGAUGGCUUAGAUGUUGUCAUAUGUUGUGUCCUUUAAGUAUUAGCAUUACCAGGACUUCAUCUCAUGUCCGUAGUUGGUAGUUUGAGUAAGCUUCGUAGGGUUCUUUUGAAGGUUCAUUGUGUGGUAAAUUAGGGAUCAAUUGUCUGGUUCAUUGUGCUCUCCAUGCUUAUUUGAUGUGUAUAAGCCUAUUUCUCGCAUAUGUAGAUUUACUUGAUCAUGGGUGGUUAUACUUGAACUUUCUGAUGACAAUCUUUUAUUUGUCUUCUUCUUUUGACAAAUAAUCUCCCUUCUUCCCUCUCUUUUAAACUUUCUGAUGACAUAUAAUCUUUUAUGUCUUCUUAUAACAAAUAAUCUCCCUCCCUCCCUCCCUCCCUCCCUCCCUCUAAGAGAUGUUGUGACUCGAGUCUUGCAACAAAGUUUGUGAGUAGGACGAUGUCAGGUAUGAGUUAAUGCCAGCUUCAGUCAGCUUUCAGUUGAGCUGGUAUUAGGUUGCACUUGUACAAAUGCACAAUAACUUGGUAUUCGGAGGAGUUCAUAACCAGUUGUCAAGUAAUGGAUUGUAGAUUAUUUGUUAUUAGAUACUGACUAUAUAGCUCUCUAUUGAUGGCUGUGUGGAGUUGAUGUGCACAUUAACGUUUCCGUUAGAAAAAGUAUUACAAACCCUCAUUGUCGACUCCAUUUCACACAGCUUUUAUCUGGUAGGAUUAAUAACUGAAUUGGGUUCCCUGGCCACAUUGAGAAAUGAAUUUCUUAUGUUGAUUUGUCCUGUCUGGUGCAGCGACAGAGGGUAACUUUAAAAGUGGUUCAGCAGGAGAAGAUUGAUCAACUAAUUUGAUUCACCUUCUAGCUGUAAUAUUUGAAUUUGAGUUGAAACAACAAUUUGAGGAUAUUCUGGUGGAGACGAAUUAUAUCGCAGGUGUCCAUAAAUAUCUUGUUUUUCUUAUAUAACAAAGAUCAUGCCUGUUGCUCUCUGGUUUGGGUAUUUUUAUUAGGAUUUAUUUUUAGUAGGAGUGAAUUGUUUGGAUUUGAUUCCGUUUUUUCAGGUAGUUCAUUCAGUAUAAGUUGAUGAUUGCUGAUGUUACUUUGUUGAUGCAGAAAGAAGAGUGCGCAGAUAGAAAUAAUUGAAGAAAUGGUUUGUGGCACCGUUGCAAGGAAUUCACAAGUCUGAAGACUAAGACUUUGCUUCUUCAUUACAAGGAAUUGGCAAUACCAUCAGGUUGAAAGCUCAAAGUUCCAUAAAAUAAUAUUUAACCUCUUAAUCUUUUCAUGGAGAUUAUAAAAUCUCAUAUUCAUUUCCAAAAUCUGCAUUAUUUGGUUGCUGUUUUUUUCAAUGCUGUAGAUGAAGAUUGUCUGUCACACUUGUAGGAUUGUUGCUGAAUUUUAAAUUAAUGAUCAGAAAGGAAAACAGGUAUUAAUUAGUACUCUCUCUGUUCCUAAAAGAUUGUCGUUUUAGAACAAAAAAUUUGUUCCAAAAAGUUUGUUGUUUACAACUUUCAAGGAGAAUAAAUUAUUUAUUUUCUUAUAUUACCGCUACCUUCUCUCAUUGUCCCAAAAAAUUCUCUCCCUUAUUAAUAGUUUUCAAUUUCCC
rnacentral:lncRNA from 1 species